UUGGCACGUGCGGCAGGCUACAUCUCACCAAGCCGUGGGAACCACCGCCGUCAGACAGCGCAGCACGCUGGCCAUUGCGUGCAAACUACCGCCCAGGACCGAAGUGUAAACGCCACGCGAGGUGCUGCUUCGAUUUCUGCUAGUUCCAACGGGGCUGCCACCGAUCGACAAGGGCCCAAUAACGCCAGCCGUAUGUUCUCGGCAACUCACCAAGAGAACCUGACGCCCGGGGUUCUUCAUCAGCUAAACGUCGUUCCCGAACGAGCGAAGAUGACGUAAUCGACCCCCCAGGGGCGCUGAUGGAUGCAUCUGUCAACGGGACUAUGAAGCGGCUCUUCAGCGCGGCACUCGACAGUGGGCGCGGCGGCGAUUCCAUGACGCGGUCUACAAACCCGAUCAUGUUUUUCGUACAGGUGGGCAAACGAUACGGAAAGUGUUACCAUAGCAAUAAAGUUUGCCUAAUCUUGCUGCCACGCC